GAAAGUUUUAUCAAUCUAUAUUCUCUUUUCUUUCACUUUACCGCAUUGUGAGAUAAGUUUGGGGAUGGUCGAGCCGGUGAAGGAGAUUAUCUAGAAGUGUGUGAUUCCAUGCAUGUUGAAAAUAUUUGUGUGGAGUGUCUUUUGCUGAGUAUAAGCUAGGUAAUGACCGUAUACUAGGGAUCUAAGCUCCAUUUUUGUUGUGUUAAAAAAAUGAAGUUAUUGUACUUGUUGAAUCUU
rnacentral:lncRNA from 1 species